UGUCCAGGGAUGGGAAUCGAACCCACAGUGUUCCGCUUACCAGGCAGAUGCCAUGUCCACUAGGCUACCAUGGUAGAU